GACGAACGCUGGCGGCGUGCUUAACACAUGCAAGUCGAACGGAAAGGCCCUGCUUUUGUGGGGUGCUCGAGUGGCGAACGGGUGAGUAACACGUGAGUAACCUGCCCUUGACUUUGGGAUAACUUCAGGAAACUGGGGCUAAUACCGGAUAGGAGCUCCUGCUGCAUGGUGGGGGUUGGAAAGUUUCGGCGGUUGGGGAUGGACUCGCGGCUUAUCAGCUUGUUGGUGGGGUAGUGGCUUACCAAGGCUUUGACGGGUAGCCGGCCUGAGAGGGUGACCGGCCACAUUGGGACUGAGAUACGGAGCAGACUCCUACGGGCGGCAGCAGUGGGGAAUAUUGCACAAUGGGCGGAAGCCUGAUGCAGCAACGUCGCGUGCGGGAUGCCGGCUUUCGGGUUGUAAACCGCUUUCGACUGUGCCGAAGCGUGAGUGACGGUAAUGGGUAAAGAAGCACCGGCUAACUACGUG
rnacentral:rRNA from 1 species